CAGCCGCCGCGGUAAUACGAAGGGGGCUAGCGUUGCUCGGAAUUACUGGGCGUAAAGGGAGCGUAGGCGGAUCGUUAAGUUGGGGGUGAAAGCCCGGGGCUCAACCUCGGAACUGCCUUCAAUACUGGCGAUCUUGAGUAUGAGAGAGGUGUGUGGAACUCCGAGUGUAGAGGUGAAAUUCGUAGAUAUUCGGAAGAACACCAGUGGCGAAGGCGACACACUGGCUCAUUACUGACGCUGAGGCUCGAAAGCGUGAGGAGCAAACAGGAUUAGAUACCCGUGUAGUCCCUGUCUCUUAUAC
rnacentral:rRNA from 1 species